GCAAGUCGAACGCUUCCGACUUCGGUCAAUGGAAGAGUGGCGAACGGGUGAGUAACGCGUAGGAAACCUACCCCUAAGACGAGGAUAACCACUGGAAACGGUGACUAAUACUGGAUAGGUAAUGAGAUUGCAUGAUUUCAUUAUUAAAGUUGAGAUACACUUAGGGAGGGUCCUGCGUUGCAUUAGUUAGUUGGUGAGGUAACGGCUCACCAAGACCACGAUGCAUAUCCGGGCUGAGAGGCUGAGC
rnacentral:rRNA from 1 species